rnacentral:rRNA from 1 species
UGUGGGGAAUUCAGUGAUCCUAUGCUGCCGAGAAAAGCCUCUAGUGAGUUCAUACACGGCCCGUACCCCAAACCGACACAGGUGAUCAGGUAGAGAAUACCAAGGCGAUCGAGAGAACUGUGGUUAAGGAACUCGGCAAAAUGCCCCCGUAACUUCGGGAGAAGGGGGACCAUGCCCGGUGAACAUCUUCACGGUGGGAGCUGGGUGUGGUCGCAGAGACCAGAGAGAAGCGACUGUUUACUAAAACACAGGUCCGUGCGAAGACGUAAGUCGAUGUAUACGGACUGACGCCUGCCCGGUGCUGGAAGGUUAAGAGGACCGGUUAGCCGUAAGGCGAAGCUGAGAAUUUAAGCCCCAGUAAACGGCGGUGGUAACUAUAACCAUCCUAAGGUAGCGAAAUUCCUUGUCGGGUAAGUUCCGACCUGCACGAAUGGCGUAACGACUUCUCUGCUGUCUCGACCACAGACUCGGCGAAAUUGCACUACGAGUAAAGAUGCUCGUUACGCGCGGCAGGACGAAAAGACCCCGGGACCUUUACUAUAGCUUGGUAUUGGCGUUCGAUUCGGUUUGUGUAGGAUAGGUGGGAGACUGUGAAGCAUGCACGCCAGUGUGUGUGGAGUCGUUGUUGAAAUACCACUCUGAUCGUAUUGGACGUCUAACCUCGGCCCAUGAUCUGGGUUAGGGACAGUGCCUGGUGGGUAGUUUAACUGGGGCGGUUGCCUCCUAAAGAGUAACGGAGGCGCCCAAAGGUUCCCUCAGCCUGGAUGGCAAUCAGGUGUUGAGUGCAAGUGCACAAGGGAGCUUGACUGUGAGACUGACACGUCGAGCAGGGACGAAAGUCGGGACUAGUGAUCCGGCACCGGCAAGUGGAAGCGGUGUCGCUCAACGGAUAAAAGGUACCCCGGGGAUAACAGGCUGAUCUUCCCCAAGAGUCCAUAUCGACGGGAUGGUUUGGCACCUCGAUGUCGGCUCGUCGCAUCCUGGGGCUGGAGUAGGUCCCAAGGGUUGGGCUGUUCGCCCAUUAAAGCGGCACGCGAGCUGGGUUUAGAACGUCGUGAGACAGUUCGGUCUCUAUCCGCCGCGCGCGUAAGAAACUUGAGGAAGGCUGUCCCUAGUACGAGAGGACCGGGACGGACGAACCUCUGGUGUGCCAGUUGUUCCACCAGGAGCAUGGCUGGUUAGCUACGUUCGGAAGGGAUAACCGCUGAAAGCAUCUAAGCGGGAAGCCUGUUCCAAGAUGAGGUUUCUCACCACCUUGCGUGGUUAAGGCCCCCUACAGACCAUGGGGUUGAUAGGCCGGAACUGGAAGCGCAGCAAUGCGUGGAGGUGACCGGUACUAAUAGGCCGAGGGCUU